UUUCUAUUUAAGUAAGGAAUAUUCUUGAUACAAAUAUCUAACCUCCUAGUACGGAAUCGUACAAUCCCAUUCUGGUAUUUGCGCCAUGAUCUUGGAGACGUGGCAGGAAUCUAGCUCAUUCUGUUACAAAUCCAUAACGGUACUAUUUAGAAGUCGAGCAUACUUGGCUCUGAUGCUCCUCGAGCACUUAGAUCUUCGAGCCUCUUAUUACACCUCUAGCCCGAGCUUGGUCUAUGUCAAACUUUUGUUCUCGAUGCGACUUCUCGGGCCUUCAAAAUUGGAGGCAUAUGAUUUUGACCGUAUACAUCGGGCUCGCUCUUAGUUUAUUUCAAUCUCGCUCUUGAAGUGACCCUCGAGCUCACAAGACCGAGUAGCCCCGAUUUCUACCGUAUACACAAUCGAAGUCAUCAAUAAUGACAAAAUUAUUCCUAAGCUUGCGCAACAUUUAGAAAAGGCAAAAAAUAAUGAGUUUGCAAUAGGUUAAAUACAGAGAUAAAGACAUCACUACAUGAUCAAAGUUAUAACUAAGUACAUUGUAUUAGAGUUUUACUUGUCAAAAUUUUAAAAUACAACAACGAUUAUUGAAGCUGUUAUGUAUUUUAGGGGUGCUUGUCGGGCAGAUCGGGUGGAUAAUACACUUAACAGUUCAGCUUAUCGGUUAUCGGUUUUUAAAUGUACUAAUCUGUUAGCUAACCAAUAAGAUAGAGGCAGUUCGGUAUCAGAUUAGUAAUUAUCGGGCGGUGUAUCAGUUAAAUCUAAGACUAAGUGAGAAUGAAAAUUAAAAUUACAUGUAGUCCAACUUCAACAGGCGAAAUUAAAAUAACAUCUUCUAGUAUGAAAGUCAUUCUCGCAUCUGUAACGUAGGACAUCAUUCUUAUUUAAAAUUACCUAUUUUUGACUUUAAUGGGAUAAUCAUUUUGCCAGACCAUCUUAUUUCAUAUUUUUAAAUUGUAUUGUUUGAAAAUUUGGUAUAUCUACAACUAAAAAUUGUACCAUACAUUGUCAGCUAAUACAAAAUAUAUUUGUAAAAUUAAAAGAGGCUAAUAAUAAAGAGUGAGGGUGAGGUCUGCGUACAUAUUACCUUCCCCAUACCCUACGUAUGGGAUUAUACUGGGUUGUUGUUGUUGUUAAUAAUAAAGAGUGGAAGCCUCAUUUCAGAUCAUAAUAUAUUUCCUUUGGUGGGUGAAAAAUAUGCAAGAUUUAUUAUUAUGCUUUGAAUUGCAAUUAUAUAAAUCUCACUUGUAAAAAAUUUAAUGAGAUUAAAUCUCAUUGCAAUUAUUUUUCAAUGAGAUUAAAUCUUGUAGCAUAGAAAAAAAUUUAAUUACUUUUCACCAUAUGCUGCAAAACCUUAUUUAAUAAGAAUUAAGAAUAAGAGGGAAAUAGUAUAGCGAGAAAUACCUCCAAAAACUACUUUGCUAAUACAUUUGAAAAAGCUGAAUAAACUUUAAAAUUGGCCCAAAAAGUGGCUAGCCCACCUAAUUUUUUCUACAAUAACCUAUUUCGCUUGUUUUGGACAUUAUCUAACCCAAAUGCAAUAUAUUCCUAAUCGAGUCCACAAAUACAUUGCUUCUUUCCAAGUUUUCAAUAUGUUUUAAUUCAAUUUUUUAAGUUACCAAUUUUAAUUUUUCGUUGGCUACCUUUUCAAAUACCAGAAAAUUAAGUAAAAAUAGCACGGUAUAACCAAUUUUCGGACUGGUCAUUCAAAAAUAGCCAGCGUUUACCAAGUCAAUGAAAAAUAGCCACUAUUUUGUUGCAACAGAGACCGGUCCAGCAUAAUAUAAUGGAGUUCGGUGCACCUGUGUAUGAACUCCAGCAUAUUAUGCUGGACCAGUAUACUUUGCUGGCUCCAGUAUAAUAUACUGGAGACUGGAGCAUCAGUGCUCCAAACUCCAGUAUAUUAUGCUGGACCGGUAUACUUGCUGGACUCCAGUAUAUUAUGCUGGAGUUCUAGUAUACUUAUGCUGGAACUCCAUCAUAUUAUGUUAGAGUUCCAACAUACUUAUCCUGGAACUCCAGUAUAAUAUGUUGGAGUUCAAUAUACUUAUGCUGGAACUACAGCAUAAUAUACUGGCGUAUUUUUUCGGAUUUUGAACUGUGUUUUCACUCAAUAUCUUUACAUAAAUAUGGCUAAAUUUCGAUUACUUUUGAGACUGGGCUACUUUUGAACGACCAGUUGGAAAUAUGAUUAUUUUUGAAUUUCACCCAAAUUAAUGUAUAUGCCAGAAAAUUAUAAUUAAUACUUAAUUUUUUUAUCAUAUCUUUGCAUUCUUCAUUUGACCUUUAAACUAACAAAACGUAUCAAUAUGUUCUCGUAUGAUACAUUAAGAAUGGUGUUCCUUCUCUUUUUGACCUCUUUUCAAGACUUGUUUUCCUUUUAUUCUCUUUUCUUUUGAUUUUCUUCAUCCUAAAAGAAUUAUAGAAAAAUUUGGGAAAAAAUAAUAUUUGUAUAUUUUCUAACAUAUUAUCUUUUAUAAUAGUAUGUUUUUUCACUCAUAACCUAGUAAUGGAGAUGGCUAGGUCAUAGACAAUAUUUCAUAAUAUGUGAAUGUCAAACAAUGACGGGGAAAAUUAACCCUUAGGGACUUUUCGCUUCUCAGAAUAGUACCCCAUCGCUGCUCCAAAAAACACCCAUAUUGUUGCUCUGAAUAGAAGCAGAAAUUAAUCCUAAAACCAUAAACGAAAUGACCAAAUGGGUGCCUACAAUGCUCAAGUAAAACGUUAUUUAGAAAAUAUUUUUUAUAAUAAUAAAGGUGAUAAUAACUUUUAGUUAAGAAAAGAUUUAUGACUGUAUAAAAUGAUUUCGAGACUUAAAUAGUAAAGUUUGAAAAUUCUAAAACACGUAAUUCAAGGCAACAAUAUGAUAAUUGGUCUUGACUCAAAAAGUAUAGCUUUUUUAAAAGAACUGAUUUGAAGACUAAUUCAAAGUUCUUAAUAAAAAGUGCUCCUUUAUGUGAUAAAAAGAAGGUACUUUGUUGUUUAAAAGAACGAUCCUAAGUGAAAAGAAAAAAGAACUUCACUGUUAAUCCUAUAUCAAAAGUAAGUUUCAAUAACAAUCCAAAAAAAAGCUUGAGAUAACCAUAAAUAGAACAAGUGAUAAAAGAAAAUAGACGAAAGAUGCCAUAAGUAAGACUCUUGCAAACAAAAGCAAAAGAUUAAAAAAAAACUCAUUAGCUUAAGAACCAUCUGAACAGACAUAAGUAAUACUUUUAAAGAAGCAUUUAAAGCAUAUUGUCAAGCAAGAAGCUCAAACUUAUAAAAAUCCAUGGCCGUUCAAGUUUAUGCAUCACCAUAAGAGUUCAAUUUUGAAACAGAUGACAAGACUACUUAAGGAACACAACUAAUUAUUUCACCAUAUGUCAGAAUACAUACCAAAGUUUUAAGUAGUUCUAACAGGUGUACACUUACUUUUAUAUAAAAGAUAAAAUAGAAAAACUCAAGAAAUCUUCAUAUUGGAAGUGUAAGUCCUAAAGACAUGAUGUCUAAGUUAAUAAAAUACACCCAAAAGAACAAGGAAUAACUGCCACUCGGUUGGACGAACAAAUUUGAUAAGAACGACUUAAGGCUUGAGUUCUAACACCAAAAUAUACAUGUGUAUAUAGACAGAGACAGAGAAUUUUAUUAGAUGAUAAUCCUACGAGUAACAAUAUUCUUUAAUGGAAGGUCAAUAAAGUCACGCAAUGAUUCAAUGGUUGAAAGGAAAGGAGGCACUAUGACUUUAUUAUGCUGAUGGACCACUAUGUCUUAACCUACAUUCAUAGCUAACUCAUUAUUCAUGCUAGAUGAUCUUUGAAGAUUUGGGAGGCAUCAGUUAGUUGGGACAAACAAUAUACUUUCCUUUACACAAGAGCCUUAAAACACCAUUUACAACGUGAUCUUUGAACCACUAGCAUGUCCUCAUUCCAAAUCAACUCAAAGAAAUAUGUGUGUCGUACUAGGAUUUUGUGAGAAGUGACAGAAACUCCUUAAACGUAUCAUUAACACAUCUAGAGAUGGCCAUACUUAUAAUAUAGAAUGUGUACAAUAUUUGAACAGAUAAAACAAUAAGCAAUUUCUUCACACAUACUACUUCAGCACUUAAGAAAAUUCUUCCACAUGGUCUCUAGAACAACUAUCCAUUACGAAACUUCAGAAACCAAUAUAAUUAAACCUUAAAGUACGUUUUCUAACAAACAACUUUAUAGUCAUUCUAAAACAUAUUUUAGACGAUGCGCUACACAUAAGAUUCACAACAUAAAGUAAACAGAGUGAGGUUGGAUUUACCUUCCACGGUGCAGUGAACUAGAACUUUGAGAUUUCAGAUCUACUCCCUCCACGUAGCAAGAUCGACACUCUAUUUUAGCGAACUAAAUAGGACUUAGAUUACAGAAAGGAAGAGAGUUAUUUGUUGACUCGAUUUUGCCGUGUUCUCACUAUUUUUCAGGAUUUCAAAGAUCAUCUUUCGGCGGGAGAGUUG
rnacentral:lncRNA from 1 species